ACCCUCCCCAGCAUCGCACCUGGAGAGUUUACAGUACUCUACCCGUCUCGACUUCUGGAGGGAGAGUCAAGCAGAGUCAUACCCAUUCCAUUCCUAGCUUGGCCAGUGGCUAGCGAGUGGCAGGCAAUUUGCUACAAAA
rfam:Ornithorhynchus anatinus chromosome X5, whole genome shotgun sequence.